rnacentral:rRNA from 1 species
AGAAUCAACGCUGGCGGCGUGCCUAACACAUGCAAGUCGCACGAGAAAGGGGACUUCGGUCUCUGAGUACAGUGGCGCACGGGUGAGUAACACGUGAAUCAUCUACCUCCGAGUGGGGAAUAACCUAGGGAAACCUGGGCUAAUACCGCAUAACACUUACGAGUCAAAGCAGUAAUACGCUUGGAGAGGAGUUCGCGGCAGAUUAGUUAGUUGGCGGGGUAAUGGCCCACCAAGACGAUGAUCUGUAUCCGGCCUGAGAGGGCGCACGGACACACUGGAACUGAAACACGGUCCAGACUCCUACGGGAGGCAGCAGUGGGGAAUUUUGCGCAAUGGGGGAAACCCUGACGCAGCAACGCCGCGUGGAGGAUGAAAUAUCUUGGUAUGUAAACUCCUUUCGAUGGGGAAGAUAAUGACGGUACCCAUAGAAGAAGCCCCGGCUAACUUCGUGCCAGCAGCCGC